rnacentral:rRNA from 2 species
UACGUAGGAUGCAAGCGUUAUCCGGAUUUACUGGGUGUAAAGGGAGCGCAGGCGGGACUGCAAGUUGGAUGUGAAAUACCGUGGCUUAACCACGGAACUGCAUCCAAAACUGUAGUUCUUGAGUGAAGUAGAGGCAAGCGGAAUUCCGAGUGUAGCGGUGAAAUGCGUAGAUAUUCGGAGGAACACCAGUGGCGAAGGCGGCUUGCUGGGCUUUAACUGACGCUGAGGCUCGAAAGUGUGGGGAGCAAACAGG